UACAGAGGUCUCAAGCGUUGUUCGGAUUCAUUGGGCGUAAAGGGUGCGUAGGCGGCGCGGUAAGUCGGGUGUGAAAUCUCGGGGCUUAACUCCGAAACUGCAUUCGAUACUGCCGUGCUUGAGGACUGGAAAGGAGACUGGAAAUUUACGGUGUAGCGGUGAAAUGCGCAGAUAUCAGGAGGAACACCAAUUGCGAAGGCAGCUCGCUGGGACGUUACUGACGCUGAGACGCGAAAGCGUGGGGAGCAAACAGG
rnacentral:rRNA from 1 species